UGGGGGGAAGAGAGUGAAUGAGGCUGCUGCAAUGCAAGGCCCGACAUCCCUGAGCCUCAGGGCUGCUUUGGUGUCUGCAGGGAGAGCAUCGCCAUCCCGCAGUGCGUUGGGUUGGUGCGUGGCACAAAGGCCCGUGGGUUCACUUUGGGGUGGCUCCUUUGGAGCUUUGGCUCCUCCACAAGAAGUGGGGAUAUUUUUCAGGACCCAACACGCGUGCGUUUUAAAAGAGAUUUUUGAUAGAAGUCCCAUUUACUCCUUUAUUUGGCUUGGGAGGCUGCAGUGGAACAGAUUUCUUUACAUAUCCUUGAGUGUUAUUUGAUUAAGGUUAUGACUGCUAAUAAACACUCAGAGUCUAUCCCCCUUCCCCACCACUUGCAGCUCAGGACAGCUCUGUUCCCGGCGCACUGCCUGUAGCAAUGCAAGGGCUGAGGUGCUGAUUCUGCUCCCCUUCCAUCAGCACAUCGGUGUGCUGCUCACUUUGGGGAAAAUCACUCUGAUUUAUUCCAGCUUUAUAAAGUAAGAGAAACUAGAAAUGGGAGGAGCGCCAGGAGUGGUUCUGGCACGAUAACCAGUUUACUUCCCUUUCCUUCCCUGUGCCAUUUACAAUCACAAGUUCUUCUAUCAAACAGCUACGAGCAGAGCAGACGUUGCCCAGGAGUCAGAAGAACUGAGGCUGCAGGAUGGAACUGACAUAAACAAAACCCUGUUUAGGAGGUUCCUUCUGUAGUGGCCAGAUCAUCUUGAGGCAGCAAGGACCUGGGAUGCUGUUUGCUUGGGUAAGGCUCACUGACUUCUGCUGCUCAGGAAAUACCCCCAAACCCACCUGUGUACGCUCACCCCACCCCUCACCCUCCCACCCCAAGGCUCUGGGUUGAUGCUUGCACAUUCCUGCACAAGGACCACCAGCAGGAGAGGGAUUUGCUGCAGGCUGUGGCAGGUGAGAGCCUUUUCACAACUGGAAGGGAUCGCUGAGCCCAGCUCCUUUUGUUGCUGCCUGCUUGUUCCCUGGCAUCACCCAGUGCAUCUUCUGCCUUUGCUCUGCAGAGCUGCAUGCAGUUCUGACAUCAGGAAGAGUAAAUUUCAUGAGCAACCCAUAUUUUGGGGCUUUUCUGGUGGACAGAAGGAAGCAAGCACACCCCGUACACUCAGUUGGUUAUGAAUGACAUAACCUGGGCAGGUUCCCAUGCGGCUGUUCCACACAGUGGGCAGGCUAUGGGAGAAAGCAGGCUGUGUAUGUGAAAAAAAACAAUAAAUGUCACUCUGUGACAUUAUUUUAGCUGGAAAAUGCUCCCCAGCUCACCCCAGCACACCACUCAUCCCAUACAUCUCACAGUGCUUGGGGAAAAGGGCGGCUGCCCUUUGCCAUGCAGGAAUCCCAGCAUGAAAUGAUGUCUGUGGCACUGCUGGGUCCAUGCCAAGGGCUGAGGUAUCCCCGUCUGCCUCGGCUCUUGUGCUUCCUUUGUUGAUGGUUCUGCAAAUCGAUGCUUUUGUCCCCAACACCACCCGGCUGUCCCUUGGCCGGGGCAGGACAAGGGGCCAUUCUUCAUGGAGAACAGUUGGGGAUCUCAUGGCAGGGUGGUUGGCCUCCAGCCAUCGCCUCCCACCGCCCUCCACACCUCGGUCACAGCUGGGCCAUGCCAUCCAUUGGGACCCAUGCCAUCUGUGGCAGGGGACAGGAGCAGCCAGCAGCAGCCAGGGGUGGCCCUGUGUUCACAGAGCAUCGCUGGAGCACAUCCGACAGAAGGGCUCGGAUGAGAGGGGCAUGGAGAUCUGAAGGUGUUCUCUUAAAAUGGGUUCGUUUGCACAUUUCUAGGAGGGGUGAGGGGCUGCAGAGUGCUGUGUGAUGCUCGGUGCUCUGAGCUGCUGGCUCACUGCCGACAGCACAAAUGCAACAAAUAAAUGGCUCCCCCAUCUCCUGCAAACCCAGGAGCAGCCCAAAGAGUGAGGAUUAAGGCCCCCAGUGCUCCCAGCUCCGUUUCCAGCACCUCACCUCGUGCCUCGGUGCCUCUCCGCAAGCUCUGAGCCAGGCAGGCACUUGGAGCAGGAGCUGUUUGCUUUGGCUCACAGCAGGCUUUGUGCAGUCGCCGGCCAGCUUUCCACAGCCCACCCUAUGGACAUCCCUCCCUGAGCACCUACCUGGGCCGCCGGCACCACUGCAUAUUUUGGCUGUGCUGUGCUUUUCCUGUGCCCGACCUCCCCCUGAAGAUGUCAGCUGGGGGGGCUGUGAGGAUCUGCCACCCCCUGCCCAUCUCUUUGUGAGCCAUCAUUUCCAGCCCUGGAAUAUUCCCUGCAUCUUUUUGCAUCAUUCCCUGUGGGAGUGUGGUGUAGCUCAGGAUGCGGGCGGCUGUGUGAGCAAGGAUGCUCAAUGUGGAAAGAAAGGGGAAAAUAAGUCACAGCUGUGACUUUUAGCCCUUUGCAGUCCUCAAUGCUCAAAAUAAUGCAGGAUCUGAGAGAGGGCAGGGGCACGACUCGGUGCUGCUCACCUUCCCCAAGCACAAUGCUUUCAGAAUCCUGAAUAGAUGUUUUCAUCACAUCGAAACCUGCCUGCAAAAUGCUGUCUGGCAGAACUCUAUUCAGCUGGAAAAACACCGGCUCGCUCUUGCUUUGAGUUAUCUCUACGGACCUCAUACAAAGUCUCAUUUAUUUGCUCCCUUUUCGGAUGGCCUCCACUUCUCCAUCUCCAGGCGUUCACAAAUCACGAUUUGCAUCUCCAGCAUCAGCGCUCAGCAAGAACUCUCUAUUUCAUUUUGCUUCUGUUGCUGCUGUUUCUUCUGCCUUUUGAUUCCCUCUUGGACGUCUUUGAGCUUUUUGCUGACUCUAAGAGCUAGAAAAAUGUUUUUUUCUUUAGUGCUUCAGAUGCUAAUGAAAUUUUUCAGCCCCAGCACAUGAAAUCAAGCAAGCAUUUGGUGUCUGUCAGCUCCCAGUGAACUUAUCUGCACUGCAGUAGGGCUGGCUAUGUUUAGGGCUAUAACACAACAGCACAAAGUCAUUGUUAUCCUAGGACCAUGCUGUGCUAUUUCUAUCCUGCUACCUGGAGGGAGCAGGGACACUUUUGGCCACUCCAACUCAGUAUUUUCCUGGGGGAAAUCUGAGUGCAAACAAAGUAAGUCGGUACAUCUAUCUAGGGACAUCUGGGGAGGUUCAUUUUUUGCCGAGUGCAGAAUGCUUUGACAGCUUCGUUCAGUUCUCACUUAGGUGAAAUCUCUGCUAAAAGAGCAGUGCUGCACUGCACAGCUGCCCAGGGAGUGGGGGGUCAGUGUCCCUGGGGAUGCUCUGUAACCAUGGGGAUGUGGCACUGAGGAACGUGGGCAUGGUGGGAUGGUUGGGGUUGGCUUCAGUGAUCUUGGAGGCCUUUUCCAACCUUUCUGAUUCUAUGAUUCUGUACUCCAUGUGCUGCAAACCGGGCCUUGGGCUGCUUUGGGAUGGGGCUGUCUCCAUCAGUGCUGGGCACAGAUUGGCUGCGUGGGGGCUGUUUGAAUGGAAAACCUUCCCUAGAAAACCCCUCGUGGCUGCAACUCCUCCUUACACCUCUUUCAGAGCCUCAUAUAGCUCCAAUCUGCUCCUAAUGAAAGCAAGCCAAACCCUGCUUGCUUCCUACCACCCACAGGCAGUCAGUCCACCAGGCCCAAUUCUGGCAAACUGGGCAAGGUUAAACCUACCCUUAGUGCUACCGGCCCCUAUAAAGAGUCUGACAACAAACCACCCCAAAAGCAUGAAGGACAUCUGUCCUUCCCCAGCAUCUCCCCCGUUCUGGUGCUCCCUGGCACCAAAAGAUGGAGGUGGCCAAGGAAGGCCACAAAGUUACUUCAUUCCUAAAUCAUUUUCCCUCCUUUGCCUUCGUUAAACUGCAGUGCACCCUUCCGUGCGAGGAAAUGGAUCCACGUUCCUCUUUUACUGCUCACAACUAUUUGGUGAUUAAGAAAACGGGGGAGCUGGGGGCACUCAUUCUUGACCUCGGGGAAGGCAGGAGGCUUAUAAAAGCUCUAAGUGCUGCAGAAAUUACGAGGCAAUUAAAAAUCAGGGCCAGAGCUGGGCCCGGGACAAUAAAAAUGAGAGGAACUGAUGUCAGCCCCGUGCAGGGCGUGGGGACCCACAACCUGUUCAGCCCCAACUGGAAAUGCAGGAGCAUUUGUCUCGGAGUUUACCAAAGCUGAGCUUGGGUUUUUUGAGCUUCUAAGAGCCAAUGAACCCAAAAGUCAAAUGGAGAUGUCAGUGCAGAUUAGUAGGGUGCAUUUUCUAAUUGCAGCUCUCGUUUCUUUUGGAGCUGGGUGUUUCCAAGAGCAGGAACUGAUGUCCUCAGGUGAGGCUGUGUCAGACCCAGGGGGGUGGUGGAGCCCCCAUCCCUGCAGGGGUUCAAUAAGAGGAUGGAUGUGGUACUGAGAGGCGUGGGCAGUGGGCAUGGCAGGGAUGAGUUGAUGGUUGGAGAUGAACCCAGUGGUCUUUUCCAACCUUAAUGAUCCUGUUCUCUUCUAUAACCAGUGGUUGGGUUUUUCCUUCAGGUGUCAAUGACUUCUUGUGCAAACUUCUCGUGUUCAAGUGUGUGGUGGCAGGGAGCGAAUGCUGCUCUCUGCAUCCUCUUAGGAAAGUCCCAGAAAGUGUCACCUGGCUCUUAGGCCACGCUGAGAACAUUUGCCCACGUCCUCUGAUCAGCUGUAAAACAGGAAAAGACCAAAAAAGGAGAGUUUUUCAGUCUGCAUUCACUAAGCUCUCACCCAGCAGGUUUGCUCAAGUUUGGUCAUGUGUUUGCCUGUCUGCACUGGAGUGCUGGCAGGAUGAGAGCAAUGUGGGUCUGUUUCCUUGGCACUGAAAGGGCCCAGAACAGAACCCAGCUCUGGCCCAAAUGUCCCAAAAGGGUCCUGGCCACUGUGAGCAGCUCCAGUUGGAAGCAAACUCCCCAAACCAGGUGGGUGAAGCCGAGAACAGGCACAGCUCAUUGCACAUAAAUGAUGGCGUUCUCACAUCCUCCCCCAGCAUCCACUGCACUGAUCAGUUCUGCACAUUUCUGCAGUGAGUGCUGGCAUUUCCCCAACCACAUCCACAGCAGCACAGACCAGGAAUCCCAUUUCUCCAUGCAGAUCUCAGCGGGAUAAACGCCGACCACAGAGACAUUUUGCAAUGCCUUGCAGCAUUUCAAAACGUGCUGUGUGUGUCACAGUGGGGUGGAAAUAUUUCCGUGGCAGAACUGCAUUGCAGCAUCUGCAUUCAAGGGAAGAGGGCUGGGGCUGCCUGGGGGCAUGCUGUGUGUCAGUGCAGCACAGCUGGCUGGAAGUUUGGUGAAGCACUGCAUUUUGGGGGGUGUUGGUGCUCAGUGGGACAGCUGUGCCAUGGCAGGGCUGGGAGCUGAGCCUCAGUUCCUGACUGCCAUUCGUUGUUGUUUCUCUUUAUCAUGCACUCAUGUGCAGGGGAUGCUGGCACAGACAGCCUUGGCUGCAGCAUGGAGACAUGGCAGUGCUUGCACCAGCAAAACCCAAACAUGCAAGUGGGAACCACAGGCAGCCCACACCCACGUGGGACCUCAGGGGCCCUUUUUGGUGUUGAAGCACUCUGCAAUAUGGUGGCCCCAAUGCACGGCCCCUCCACUGCCAGCCCCUCGCCCCAGGCUCUUGCAGCUCUGUUUUUAUGGGCAGCUCGUUAGCUUCCCUGCUCACUCAGUUUAUGUUUGCUGGCUCUCGCUGGCGUUUCCCUCCCUGUAAAACAAGAAUGCACAAACACGGGGAGAGGGGUCCCAGCAAGGAGGGUGCAUGUGGGAAGCAGUGGGUCUGGGUUACCCUUAGGGUUGGGAGAGAGGAGGACAGAGGGAUUUACCCGAUGCCCUCACUGCCUUUAGCCCUUCCCACUCACCAGAUACUCUGCUUCUCUCCUGUUUCAAAGGCAGCAUUAAAAUCCCAGGCCCUGCUGAGAGUGGUGUGGCUGAAGGUAUGAAAUCCAGCCUCGCUGCUUUGUUUCCUGAAUGAUAUUCAUCCCAGCUCAUGCUAUCAGAUUGGCUUUUUUUUUUUUUUCUUUUAGAUUUUAUGAAUGAGUGUAAUCCUUCAGCAGGAAGGGAGGUGUCAGCUCAGAUGCUUUGGUCCUCAUGUUUUGGUGGUCAUUAAUAACGCCUGCAGUGCUUUCUGGAAGUGUGAGCCAAAGGCUUGGGAUGUAACAGCUUCCUAGUGGAAAAAGUGAGUUUCUUCCAAAUCAAAAGGUCUCACAAAAACAACACCUGGUUUCUGAUAUCUUCUUUUCACUUCAUUUCAAAUGCUUUGCUCUGCUCUCGUAAAAAAAAAAAAAGAAAUGUGAGUGUAAAGUAUUAUUGUACAUCAUUUGCCUUUGCCUUGUUUGAGGUGCGAUUUUAUAUUCAGAUCCGUAUUUGUAGUAGAGAUGCCUGCUUUUAACAAGUCAUUAGACACCAAAGGGAAAUAUUUGUGCCUGGUUAGCAGGGAGCAACGGCUCGCUGCCCAGAUGGAGCAUCCAAUGACACGCUGCCCAAAUGGAGCACCACGGCUAUUUGUAGCUGAAAGGGAGGAUGCAUUAAGUCUUGCUGGAGCCAGGCUGUGCCCAAACCAGGGGAACACCCCCAGAGGUGUGCCUCACCCCCUGGAUGCCCCGUCCUGGGAAAUGCAGGGGAUGGGGUACCCGAGCAGGGCUGUGUCCUCAGAUCCACGUUCUGCACUGUGCACACGGGAGCGAUGCUCCCACCCGUGGAUUCAUUGCAGCUGCGUGCCUCCACCUUGUGAUGGAUCCCAGAUGAUUUCUCAGCCAGAGCAGUGCAGCCACUCGUGUUAGAUUAUAAACUGGAACUUUUACAGGCUGUAUGUGGGGUUUGUGGCUUCCUUUCUCUCUCUCUGUCUCCGAAGUCCGUGUUUCUUAAUAAAUCAUCCUCUAGCCCAAGCUGAGUCUUGCUGUUUUAAGUUUAACUAGCUUAUUUUUUUGCUGAUAAGCUGGACUUUGAAUUCUUCUCAAGAUCACAGGUCGGGGCUGGUAAUGUCAUGAAGGAGAGACUGUUAGCUGUGAUAUAUCACAUGCCAAUGAGGACGGCACGGACAGCUUGCUGCGAGCAGCUCGUUUCCCCUGUAUCAGCAUUUACAGGCAGAGCACUUGUAUCUUGCAGAGGUGGUGGGAGGGAAGUCAGGUCUCCCACCAAAUAUAAAUUAUGUCUAUUGUUGGAGCCAACUCAACAGAGUCACAGAGCAGAGCUCUAAGGUAUGUGCAAAGGGUAAGGGAAAAACGGGCACCAGUGGCAAGGAGAUGUUCUGGUAUGUGCCCAUUUCUUACACUGUAUUGGUGCAAAGGAUUUUGUUAAGGCUUUGAUCCUGACUUCACUCCUGAUUUCUUCUUUUGAACCAUCUUCAGUCCAAAGAAACCCAAAUCCACCCAAGUUUGGGGCUGAAGGGUGGGGUGUAGCAAAGCUGCAGUGAAGUAUAUCUGCUACACCCUCUUGCUCUCUUUUAUUCUUCUUUGCCACCACCCUGACAGCAAAUAAAUUUCUGUUCUUGACAGCUCCAAGCAAACACAUUACAUUCUCAGAUCCAUCAUGCUCUGAUCCUUGUUCUCAUAGCCAGUGACCAAGCUCCUUUCCCAGUAUUGCCAUUGACUUUGGCCAAUUGCUCCCAUGGCCAUGCUGCUAUAUGGACAUGUCUGCUCAGCACUCCUUCUUGGAGUCCACAGCAACUCCCAUCACGUCCCAUAGAGACUAUAGUCCCAAAAUCACAUUCCUGUUGGGUUAGUCCUCCAGAGGCCAGCGGAGGGCAUAGCACAGUUCAUCCUUAUCAGAGGAGCUUUUAUCUGGCUCCUGCUCCUUUGCAAUAACGGGGGGAGCUGAUCUGGGGCUCCCUGCAGUGAGAGCAUCUUACUCAGUGCCCCACUGCUCCAGAGACAGUUCCCUGUGCUGCAGGGAUCAGACAGAUUGUCGCGUCGGAAAAUUUUUGCUGCUUGCCCAGCUGGGGUCUGGAGAUCAGCCAGGGUCCCUCCGUGGGAAGACAAGAUGUGGAGACACGGUGCGGAUGCACUCGGAGCUUUGCUCUCUUCAUGGGAAUCUGUUUCACUUCUCCUUUUCUGUUGUAUUUUUUUUUUUUUUUUUUCCUUUUGGAGGCUAUUUUGAUUCGAAAAGAUUCUGGUUUUUCUGGUCUACGGUUCAGUUUUGUUUGUCUAUAGGCUGCGUGCCAAUGGCGUCUGCCCUGUCCCGGCUGCCUUAGUCAUACAGUCACACAAUCAUUCAGGUUGGAAAAGACCUCUCAGAUCAUUGAGUCCAACCCCACCGUGCCCACUGCCCACAUC